UACGUAGGGUGCAAGCGUUUAAUCGGAAUUACUGGGCGUAAAGCGUGCGCAGGCGGUUGUGCAAGACCGAUGUGAAAUCCCCCGGGCUUAACCUGGGAAUGGCAUUGGUGACUGCACGGCUAGAGUGUGUCAGAGGGGGGUAGAAUUCCACGUGUAGCAGUGAAAUGCGUAGAGAUGUGGAGGAAUACCGAUGGCGAAGGCAGCCCCCCUGGGAUAACACUGACGCUCAUGCACGAAAGCGUGGGGAGCAAACAGG
rnacentral:rRNA from 1 species